AUAUCAAUAAGCGGAGGAAAAGAAACUAACAAGGAUUCCCCUAGUAACUGCGAGUGAAGCGGGAAAAGCUCAAAUUUAAAAUCUGGCGGUCCUUGUGGCUGUCCGAGUUGUAAUCUAGAGAAGUGUUAUCCGCGCUGGACCGUGUACAAGUCUCCUGGAACGGAGCGUCAUAGAGGGUGAGAAUCCCGUCUUUGGCACGGACUACCAGGGCUUUGUGAUAUGCUCUCAAAGAGUCGAGUUGUUUGGGAAUGCAGCUCUAAAUGGGUGGUAAAUUCCAUCUAAAGCUAAAUAUUGGCGAGAGACCGAUAGCGAACAAGUACCGUGAGGGAAAGAUGAAAAGAACUUUGGAAAGAGAGUUAAACAGUAC
rnacentral:rRNA from 1 species